AGGGGCGUAGCGCAGUUGGUAGCGCACUUGGUUUGGGACCAAGGGGUCGCAGGUUCGAAUCCUGUCGCCCCUA
rnacentral:tRNA from 1 species